CCUGAUGCAGCGACGCCGCGUGAGGGAUGACGGCCUUCGGGUUGUAAACCUCUUUCAGCAGGGACGAAGCGCAAGUGACGGUACCUGCAGAAGAAGCACCGGCCAACUACGUGCCAGCAGCCGCGGUAAUACGUAGGGUGCGAGCGUUGUCCGGAAUUACUGGGCGUAAAGAGUUCGUAGGCGGUUUGUCGCGUCGUCUGUGAAAACCCACCGCUCAACGGUGGGCCUGCAGGCGAUACGGGCAGACUUGAGUACUGCAGGGGAGACUGGAAUUCCUGGUGUAGCGGUGAAAUGCGCAGAUAUCAGGAGGAACACCGGUGGCGAAGGCGGGUCUCUGGGCAGUAACUGACGCUGAGGAACGAAAGCGUGGGUAGCAAACAGGAUUAGAUACCCUGGUAGUCCACGCCGUAAACGGUGGGCGCUAGGUGUGGGUUCCUUCCACGGGAUCUGUGCCGUAGCUAACGCAUUAAGCGCCCCGCCUGGGGAGUACGGCCGCAAGGCUAAAACUCAAAGGAAUUGACGGGGGCCCGCACAAGCGGCGGAGCAUGUGGAUUAAUUCGAUGCAACGCGAAGAACCUUACCUGGGUUUGACAUGUACUGGAAAGCCGUAGAGAUACGGCCCCCCUUGUGGCCGGUAC
rnacentral:rRNA from 2 species